rnacentral:rRNA from 1 species
UACGUAGGGUGCAAGCGUUAAUCGGAAUUACUGGGCGUAAAGUGUGCGCAGGCGGUUGAGCAAGUCGAGUGUGAAAGCCCCGGGCUUAACUUGGGAAUUGCGCUCGAAACUACUUGACUGGAGUGUGGCAGAGGAAGGUGAAAUUCCACGUGUAGCGGUGAAAUGCGUAGAGAUGUGGAGGAACACCAAUGGCGAAGGCAGCCUUCUGGGCCAACACUGACGCUCAUGCACGAAAGCGUGGGGAGCAAACGGG